AAUUAUGUGCCUGAUUAAAGGGUUAAUUUGAUAGAUUAAAUAAUGAUUAAUUUUUAUUUCGUUA
rnacentral:tRNA from 1 species